rnacentral:lncRNA from 1 species
GGUGACUUGGCACACACUUCUUUGAGGCUUAUCCUAUAAAUGAGCCUCUGAUAAGCAAAGAAAAACAUACCCUUUUACCCCAGCAAUUCCAUAAAGAUUUGGUACUUCCUAUCCAGAUUAGCAGUUAGAGCUGAAAUUACCCUGAAACAAAUCAGCUGGUUAUUCUACAAAAAAACAUAAAAUGUAUAUGUUGACCAGCCUCUUCUUUCCAGGUCUCCAAAAUCUCUGUGAACAGAUUCUUUUCAACAGGGAGUAUCUCAGCCAUGCAGGUGGAUGGGACACAGAUAUACAUGUUGCAAAAGAAGGUUGCUUCGUGGGAAAACUCUCCUGAACAAGCCUUGCGUUUAUUUCUAAGACAGUGGCACUUGUCCAACAAUGUGUCCAAUUUGUCAAGAAGGUCUGAUUGAAGCCCUUCAUUAUCAUACAUUGGUGAAAUAAUUUGCCUGAAGGGGAAAUGGCUCAUUAAUAAGAGGAAUGAAUUGCA